rnacentral:rRNA from 1 species
GACGAACGCUGGCGGCGUGCUUAACACAUGCAAGUCGAACGGAAAGGCCCUGCUUUUGUGGGGUGCUCGAGUGGCGAACGGGUGAGUAACACGUGAGUAACCUGCCCUUGACUUUGGGAUAACUUCAGGAAACUGGGGCUAAUACCGGAUAGGAGCUCCUGCUGCAUGGUGGGGGUUGGAAAGUUUCGGCGGUUGGGGAUGGACUCGCGGCUUAUCAGCUUGUGGGGGGGGUAGUGGCUUACCAAGGCUUUGACGGGUAGCCGGCCUGAGAGGGUGACCGGCCACAUUGGGACUGAGAUACGGCCCAGACUCCUACGGUAGGCAGCAGUGGGGAAUAUUGCACAAUGGGCGGAAGCCUGAUGCAGCAACGCCGCGUGCGGGAUGACGGCCUUCGGGUUGUGAACCGCUUUCGCCUGUGACGAAGCGUGAGUGACGGUAAUGGGUAAAGAAGCACCGGCUAACUACGUG